GAUGAACGCUGGCGGCGUGCCUAAUACAUGCAAGUCGAGCGAACAGACGAGGAGCUUGCUCCUCUGACGUUAGCGGCGGACGGGUGAGUAACACGUGGAUAACCUACCUAUAAGACUGGGAUAACUUCGGGAAACCGGAGCUAAUACCGGAUAAUAUAUUGAACCGCAUGGUUCAAUAGUGAAAGACGGUUUUGCUGUCACUUAUAGAUGGAUCCGCGCCGCAUUAGCUAGUUGGUAAGGUAACGGCUUACCAAGGCAACGAUGCUGAGCCGACCUGAGAGGGUGAGCGGCCACACUGGAACUGAGACACGGUCCAGACUCCUACGGGAGGCAGCAGUAGGGAAUCUUCCGCAAUGGGCGAAAGCUUGACGGAGCAACGCCGCGUGAGUGAUGAAGGUCUUCGGAUCGUAAAACUCUGUUAUUAGGGAAGAACAAAUGUGUAAGUAACUAUGCACGUCUUGACGGUACCUAAUCAGAAAGCCACGGCUAACUACGUG
rnacentral:rRNA from 1 species